rnacentral:lncRNA from 1 species
GAAUGCCUAGAGCAGGAAAGUAAUUUCAUCCCUGACUAUUUUCCUAAUUGAGAUUAUUCCAAGAGAUGGACGAAGUUUGUUCAAACUAGAAGACUUAAGGCCCAAGUAAGAUUAAUGGGCUUGAAGAAUCAAAAUAAAGUCAAAGCUUUGGGCCCAACUCGAGAAGGCCUCAAGGCCUUAUGGCCAAGAUGGUCCACGACCCAAGGAUGUCGCAACCAUGGGCAGCCCACAC